AUCACAAUUUCCAGCAUCUCUCUAACAAAAGUAUGGUUCCUCCUCAUACCUCUUCUCUUCUUCUCCCCCUUGGCUUAGACUUAGAGCGUCUUCGUCCUCUUUACUCUUCUUUUGUUCAACCACCAUCUCUAUCUUUUGUCCUCUCCUCUUCAUCUUCAUUUCUUCCAACCUUCUUUUUGGUCUGAAAACUCGCCGGACGCCACCGCAUAAAAUUACUAAAUAAAAACUGGUUUAAGCCAAGGAUUAGACCGAUAUAGUAGCAAGUUAUACAUCACUUUCAAAUUCCAAUAAUAGCUAUAAAAUAUCUCAAAUCUCAACAACAGCAAUAAAAUAUCUUCACAACGAACGUUUCUCUCUCUCGCUACCUCUCGCUAUCAAUUGUCGUCUCACGGUAUUGACAUAUUCGGAGAAAUAAUACGACAAGGAAUGGUGCGCGAAAGAAAGUGGUUUAGGACCUUAAGGUACAGAAAACGACAAACAAGAUAUUAGUAUAAAAAAAGAAAGUAAAACUUGAAAAUGACAUGACAUUGGUUACAAGAGGAGCCACGUAGAGGGCCA